CCUACGGGUGGCUGCAGUGAGGAAUAUUGGUCAAUGGCCGAGAGGCUGAACCAGCCAAGUCGCGUGAGGGAAGACGGCCCUACGGGUUGUAAACCUCUUUUGUCGGGGAGCAAAGAGAGUCACGUGUGACUCAUUGAGAGUACCCGAAGAAAAAGCAUCGGCUAACUACGUGCCAGCAGCCGCGGUAAUUCGGAGGAUUCGCGCGUUAUCCGGUUUUAUUGGGUUUAAAGGUUGCGCAGGCGGAGGUGCAAGUCAGCGGUCAAAUUGCGGGGCUUAACCCCGUACUGCCGUUGAAACUGCAUCCCUUGAGUGCGCGAGAAGUGUGCGGAAUGCGUGGUGGAGCGGUGAAAUGCAGAGAUAUCACGCAGAACUCCGAUUGCGAAGGCAGCAUACCGGCGCGCAACGGACGCUCAUGCACGAAAGCGUGGGUAUCGAACAGGAUUAGAUACCCCGGUAGUC
rnacentral:rRNA from 1 species